AAGAGAAUUCCCCCUUCUCUCUCAAUUACAUCUUUCCUCUCAUCCCCUCUCACAUUUCAGUUCACACCCCAGACUCUAUAAAAGAAGAAAAUGAAGAGACACCCUGUUGUAGAAUCCAUCUCUAAGUCCUUGCACCUGGAGGAAGACAACUUCCUUUGGAAAGAGGCGGAAAAAGGAGCCGACUCCCUGUAGGCUCUCUGUGCCUUCAGCUGAAAUUAGCUCUGAGUUGCCCCUGCUGUGGAACAGGUCUUCAUAUGGAGAACUAACUGCACAUGAAGAGCUGUAUGUAAGGAACUGCACCGAAGGAGCCUCAUCCAUACCUGGGCCUGAUUUAAGUGACAAUCUUCUGGACCUUUAAGCGACAAACUUCUGGACCAAUUUGCCAACACCAUAUUCAAUUCCAGAGGCUGGGAAGUCCAAGACCAAGUUGGCGGUGGAUUCUGUGUCUGGCGAGAACUUCCUGCUUCAUACAGGGCUGUCUACUUGCUGUGUCCUCACAUGGUAGAAAGAGCCAGAGAAUGCUGUGGGGCCUCUUUUAUAAGGGCACCAAUCCCAUUCAUGAGGGAGGAGCCCUCAUGAGCUAGUCACCUUCAAGGCCCCCCUACAAAUACCAUCAUCUGGCGGGGGGUUUAGGAUUUCAACAUAUAAAUGGAGAGGGGGUACAUAACAGUCCAUAACAAUGCCCUCGCCAAAUCAAUGUAGGGUCCAUAAAGCUCUGUAAUACACAUGGAGCAUCCAAGCUUUUAACUCCUGACGGGCUGCCAAGAAGCAGCACAGGUUUCCAGAAAGUUCUGAGGAAAGACAGAGGUCAAGGAAAGGAGAAAACAGAAGAUACGAAAAAGUAUUUGGAGGAAACAGAAGAUACACAAGGCUUAAAAAAAAAAACCCCUCAAAAGUGAAAACUUUAAUAUUGCCCAAGAAAAAAUGGCGUCCCCAAAGAAAACAUGCAUGCUGUAGAGGAACAUUCAGAGAACAAAUGGACCAUUUAGAAAUGUUAAGAUGUGGUAGCAUAAAUAGUAA